AAACCAUGGUGAGGGCACUUCCGUAAAAGAACCUUAUACCUUUCCCAUGCUUUAUACAAUGACUCUGAAUCUUGUUGGUAAAAGUUGGCAAUCUCACUCCUUAGCUU